GGAGGCGUAGUCCAGUGGUAGGAUUUUUGACUCCAAAUCAGAAGGCAUGGGUUCGAUUCCUGUCGCCUCUG